AGAAGAGCUGACCAGCAUUUCUGUUUAACAAAAAAAAAAAAAGGGGAAGAUUUUCAGAAGAUAAACAAUCCAACGGUGAAGUGUUUCCUCCUGAUCCGAGGAGAAAAGGCUUCAGGGUCCCAUGAGGAACUCUUGGAGGGAACAGCAACUCUUUGGAAGAAUUCAUAUCACUGAGCUUGGUCCUGCAAGGCAGGCCCUGCCACUGCUGACCGGGUCCAUUCUGAGCAACGAUGUAUUAGCAAAGCAGCGCCCACAUGGAUCCGCUGGGAUUUCUGCUCCAUUCCUACCCAUCCAGCUUUAUUUGCCUCCCUUAAUCCAGGGAAAACACUAACAUGAAACAACCUUCACUUCUUAUCUGAGAGCCAUAUUCCUUGAAAGCUUCCACUGCUGGGGCAGGGUGAUCUGCUCAAGCCAAGACAUAUACCGUCCACUUUUAGGCUCUGUCCUUCGUAUGGUGUCUGUGAUACUCCUAUACAAACCCAUUUCUUGUAAAAUAACAAAAAGCAGUGGGCAGAGUCAUGGGCAGGGUGCUAUUUUAGUUUCAGUAAAUGGUUUUUAUCAGAAGUAGGCCUUUCCUUUCUGCUUCUAUAGAUUGUAAAGAGGUUUCUGCCUCUCUAACUCUGAGAGUGGGUCUCAGAAACGUAUUUCACCCUUAUGCUACAAAAUAAACCUGCUGAACGGG
rnacentral:lncRNA from 1 species